CGGGGCUUUGGUCAGCCGGCUGCAAGCCCUAGCUGACUCGACCCAGACGCGGGUGGGGACCCGGAACCCGGGACAAAGCGCAAGCCUGAGGGCUCCGAGACCUGCUUGGACUCUCUCGAGCUUUCUUGCUGGCGUGAGCAGCCUGCGAAAUUUGAAACUUUUUGUAGGGAUGUCUGGGUUAGCAAGUGCGUUUCCCCGAAUGGGAUACGUCAGUGUGCAUGGUAAUGUAAGAAAUUUCCGGGGUCUGUGAAAAUAGGGGAAUCGGUGGUGGAGUUUCAGGCUUCUGAAGCCUACGAUGUGCGGGCGGACCUAGUUUCUUGCAGGGGAGCUAAGGGUCAGAUCUUUAUCUGUUGAGGUAAAGGAGAUCUGUGGGUUUUACAAGUAUAAGUAUUAAUACGGGGUUAGGGGGGUCUGCAAUUGCUAGGGAAAGUGGGUGUUUCCCCUUGUACAGGUGUUGAGUGAAGUUUGUGACUAUUACAGAUGUUCUGAAGUUUAAUUAGCCCUUAAGUCCUCUUCUCGCCUACCUAGUUAUAGCAAGGUAGCGAGACGCUUCCCAGAUACCGAUAGAUGGCAGCACAGGACUCUUGCAAAACAGCCUAGACAGCAGAUUUGGGGCUUCUUGAAGGAGCCAACCGGGAAGAGGGUCGGGAUCCAACCUACUCAAGUUCUGAGGUUCUGAAAGUCUCAGAUUCUUUUGGUUCUGUGACUUUCUAUGAGUAUUUAACUUAAACUGCUGGUCUAAGCGUCAAUAGUGUGCCAGGCGCAAAAAAGAAAGAAAAAGGCAUUUCUCUGCCCUUAAGGAAUUUUUUGUGUAGACAGAACGUUAUCUAUAGAUAAAGCCAGAAGGGUUUUAUGUGUGAAAAAAGCAUAGGGUUUGAAAUCACCUGUGUUGCUUUCCGAACUUUGGGUAUUUGCUUGUGGGUAGAUUAAAUUUUUUUUAAUAAACUCUAAAUUUUAGAACAAUUUUAGAUUUACAGAAAAUUUGUGAAGAAAGCAUAGAGUUUCCAUAUACACUCCAAUUCAGUUUCCCCUAUUAUAGGUUCAUUUGUCAUAAUUAAUGAACCAAGCCGAGUGCGGUUGUGCACUACUCUAAUAACAGUGACUCUGGAGGCUGGAGGCAGAAAGAUCACAAGUUCUAUGGAAGCCUGAAUAACUUUAGUGAGCCCCUCAGUAACUGUUAUGGUUUGGAUAUUAGGGGUCUCCCUGGAAGCUCAGUAUUAAUGCAGGAAUGUUCUUAGGUGAAAUGACUGAAUUGUGAGAGCUGUAACCUUUUCAGUUCAUCCCAGUUUGAAUAGAUCAACUGGGUGCUAACUGUAGCCAGAUGGAGGAGGUGGGUCGUUGGUAGCAUGUGGUGGAAGGGUUCAUCUUCCUUGCAGCGCCUUCUCUGCUUCCUGGCCAUCAUGAACAGAGCAGUGCUCCACCAUUAAGCCUUUCUGCCUCAUCUUGGGCCUAGAGCGAGGUAGUCAAGGACAUGAACUAACCCUCUGAAACUAGCUGGGACCUUCUCAGAAACUGAGGCAGUGCAAAGGCCCCCACUUCAACCUGUAAUUCUUUGGAUCAAAUCAGAAAGAUGUCAAACAUAUUGCUCAGAGGUCUUGCUAAAUUGCUGAAGCUGAUCUUGAACUUUAAUCCUCCUGCCUCAUCCUGUUGAGUUGCUAGAAUUACAAACAUGCACCAUCUGGCCCAGCACAAUUUCUUUUUCAUAAUAUUUUCAAAAUUGUAAUUGACACAUAAUCAAUUUCUUUCUUCCUUCCUUCUUCUUUCCUUCCUUCCUUCCUUUCUUUCCUUCUUUCCUUCCUCCUCCCUUCCUUUCUUUCUUUCUAUGUGUGGCACUUGAAAUUGAACCACCCAGGGUCUCAUAUGUGCUAGGCAAAGGCUCUACCAUUGAGCUACAUCCCCAGCCCUUUAUAUUUUAUUUUGAAACAGGGACUUGCUAAAUUGCUCAGGCUGGUCUUGAAUUUUCAAUCCUCCUGCCUCAGCCUCCCUAAUCUCAGGGAUUAUAGACAAGUUGCCACCAUAUCCAGAGAAGAAUAAGAAGAAGGAGAAGAAAUAUACUAGGCAUACAGAAAGUUAUAAAGAAUAGCCGAGGGGCUGGGGUUAUGGCUCAUCAGUAGAGUACUCACCUAGCAUGUGCCAGGCCCUGGGUUUGAUCCUUGGCACCACGUAAAAAUAAAUAAAAUAAAGGUAUCGUGUCUAACUACAACUAAAAAAUAAAUAUUAAAACAAAAAAGAAUAGCCAAGCAUUGUAGUGCCCACCUAUAAUCCUAGUGAUGUGGGAGGCUAUGGCAGAAGGGUCCCAAAUUUGAGGCCAGCUACAGCCAUUUUGCAAAAACAACAACCACAAAAAAUUAUAAAGAAUACUAAAAUUUAAAAAAAACAAGAAAAAAAAAUUUAUCACAGAUUUAUCAAAUCUUAGUUUCUAAAUUUCUUUUCAUUUUUUUGUAGUUAUAGAUGGACAGAAUGCUUUUAUUUUGUUUAUGCAGUGCUAAGGAUCAAGCCCAGUGCCUCACAUAUGCCAGACUAGUGUUCUGCCACUGAGUUAUAGCCCCAGCCCAGAUCUUAGUAUUUUAUCACAUUUGCUUUAAAUUCUUUUUUUUUUUAAGAUAGAGAGAGGAGAGAGAGAGAGAAUUUUUUUAAUAUUUAUUUUUUAGUUUUCAGCGGACACAACAUCUUUGUUUGUAUGUGGUGCUGAGAAUCGAACCUGGGCCGCACGCAUGCCAGGCGUGCACGCUACCGCUUGAGCCACAUCCCCAGCCCAACUUUAAAUUCUCUUUUAUUUAUUUAUUUAUUUAUUUUGAGAUUGAACACUACUCUUUUUUUUUAUUGGUUGUUCAAAACAUUACAAAGCUCUUGACAUAUUUCAUACAUUAGAUUCAAGUGGGUUAUGAACUCCCAUUUUACAGCAGAUGGGGUAGAGAGAGAAGAUGGGAGGAGAGGGGAGGGGGUAUAGUAAAGGAUAGGAAAGGUAGCAGAAUACAACAGUUACUAAUAUGGCAUUAUGUAAAAAUGUGGAUGUGUAACCGAUGUGAUUCUGCAAUUUGUAUUUAAAUUCUCUUUUAAAGAAAUCAGCGAAGCUAGGAGCUUUGGCCUUUGCCUGUAGCCCCAGCAACUCCACAGGCCGAGGCAAGAGGGUGGCAAGUUCCAGGCCAGCCUAAGCAAUUUAGAAAGCCCCUCAUAAACUUAUCGAGACCCUGCUCAAACAAAAAAAUAAAAAGUGUUGGUGAUGUAGCUCAGUGGUAAAGUGCCCCUGGGUUCAAUCCCCAGAACUACAGAAAAAUGGAUAAAUAAAUAAAUAAGAUUAAAGAAAUUAGUAUUUCAGAUCAAGUUAAACCCUUUAAGUACUCCUCCCUAGUCUCUUUCCUAUCAUUUUUCACCUUCUGUCUGAGAAAUAACUACUAUCCCAAAUUGGUAUUUAUUUUGUUUAUGUACUUAAACAAUUUUAUUGCUUAAUAUACACAUAAGUCUAUUGAAACAUAGCCCCCCUUUGAAAUUAAAAUCUCCAAAUUGUUUUAA